rnacentral:rRNA from 1 species
AACGAACGCUGGCGGCAUGCCUAACACAUGCAAGUCGAACGAAGCCUUCGGGCUUAGUGGCGCACGGGUGCGUAACGCGUGGGAAUCUGCCCUUCGGUUCGGAACAACAGUUAGAAAUGACUGCUAAUACCGGAUGAUGACGUAAGUCCAAAGAUUUAUCGCCGAAGGAUGAGCCCGCGUAGGAUUAGCUAGUUGGUAAGGUAAAAGCUUACCAAGGCGACGAUCCUUAGCUGGUCUGAGAGGAUGAUCAGCCACACUGGGACUGAGACACGGCCCAGACUCCUACGGGAGGCGAGCAGGUAGGGGAAUAUUGGAACAAGUGGGACGAAA